rnacentral:rRNA from 1 species
UACAGAGGUCUCAAGCGUUGUUCGGAUUCAUUGGGCGUAAAGGGUGCGUAGGCGGCGCGGUAAGUCGGGUGUGAAAUCUUGGAGCUUAACUCCGAAACUGCAUUCGAUACUGCCGUGCUUGAGGACUGGAGAGGAGACUGGAAUUUACGGUGUAGCGGUGAAAUGCGCAGAGAUCGGGAGGAACACCCGUAGCGAAGGCGGUUCUCUGGGCCGGUACUGACGCUGAGGAGCGAAAGCGUGGGGAGCAAACAGG